UACGUAGGGGGCUAGCGUUGUCCGGAAUCAUUGGGCGUAAAGAGCGUGUAGGCGGCCCGGUAAGUCCGCUGUGAAAGUCGGGGGCUCAACCCUCGAAUGCCGGUGGAUACUGUCGGGCUAGAGUGCGGAAGAGGCGAGUGGAAUUCCUGGUGUAGCGGUGAAAUGCGUAGAUAUCGAGAGGAACACCUGCGGCGAAGGCGGGUUGCUGGGCUGACACUGACGCUGAAGCGCGAAAGCUAGGGGAGCGAACGGG
rnacentral:rRNA from 1 species